rnacentral:rRNA from 1 species
GACGAACGCUGGCGGCAUGCCUAACACAUGCAAGUCGAACGGAGAUCAUUAGAUAGCUUGCUUGACGAUGAUCUUAGUGGCGGACGGGUGAGUAACACGUGGGUAAUCUGCCUGACAAUCUGGGAUAACAGGGUGAAAACGCUGCUAAUACCGGAUAAGCUCACAGGGACGGGAGUCCUGGUGAGAAAAGGAGCAAUCCGUUGUCAGAUGAGCCCGCGGCUGAUUAGCUAGUUGGUGGGGUAAAGGCCUACCAAG